AUCACUUUGUCAUAUUAUUUCACACACAUAAAUGUUUAUUAAUGACAAUUAUUGCACAGAAUAAACAUUGAUGCAUUUGUAUGUAAAAGAAGAUCAAAAGCCGUUUUUUAAAAUUUCAAUAUCUCGUAUGUCUAUAUUUAGAAAAUUCUUUUUAUCACUAUCGCAUUUUAUUUCAACAUAAUUAUACCGCUCGAAGAAUCUACUUAUAACUGUUAUUACUUUUCAGACUUGAGGCGAAUCAUAAAAUGUUAACAGCGAAAUAUUUGUCACAAUCGUAGAGAAUAAUUACAUAAGCGGACCAUUUUAAACAAGACACUCUAUACAACUGAUCAUACUAUGAGCAAAUGAUACAAGAUGUUACCAGUCGCGCAGUCAGCGCCCGAUUAAACCUCGCUGCGUCGCGGGAACGGUUGCGCAUUGAACGUGUGCGCAUGCCGCGCGUGCGCGCUGCGAAAGUGGUGCUACAGUGGCGCCAGUAAUGGCGGCGGAAAACACGCGCGCACGCCAACACCGCCGCCGGUUUGUUUCUCCACGCCUCUACCUCGCCUCCACCACCGCCACCGCCACCGCCACCGUUCUCACGACUCGCGGAUGGAUAAUUCUGCGUAUGUGCCGAAUCAUCUACCGCCGCCAUCCCUGGUCGUGUUUUCACAGGCCGGGGGGCUGCCGGAGGCUCUGAGAAUGCAAAGACCCUUCAAUCCACAAGUUAGUGUCCCAUCGUCCUUGCCUAUACGCCUAAGCCUAUCUUUGCUUUUCUACUCCUGUUUGUUUACCUAUGCGAAUAUCUGGUGAAAAUAAUAUUUCCGACAACACGUCACAGAGCGACGAUUAGCCCCGGUAUUCUCCUAACACGGCUUCUUUUCUCGUCCCUUUUUUUAAAUCAUUGACCUUUCACAACUAUGGUAGCUUAACGCGCGUAUAGGAAAAUUUGUACGCUGGUAAAUCUAAUCUAUCGUCUCACGAUCGUUUUUAUUUCCAAUUUUUUAAUGACAAGAUUUCAAUGCCGUUGUCACUUCUUACGAAUCUUUUUCUUCUAUUAUUUUAUUCGAUUGCUCGAUCUUUCCCAUACUUUGGUUAAAUCGUCGCUACAGUGUUUAUAAUUACUGUUGCUCGAACCUUGUUCGAAGUAUUAUUUUAACCAGUCUGGACAGAACUAUUGUAACUAAAACAGGAUGGGUACUUGA
rnacentral:lncRNA from 1 species